UGUCAUUUCACGGGGAGAAAACUGGAAGUCCCUGCACAAAAGGAAGGAGCGCUCACACAGGGAGUGGAAAUUUGCACUGGGAAUGGUGCUCCAGCCCUCCGAUAGUCUUUGUGGCCUCCUCUGGACCCUCUCCACCAGCUCUGCAUCCUCCUUGUGCUGGAGGCCCCAGGCCUGGAUGCAGUACUCAAGACUACAUCUUGGGGAUCUGGCAGCUUCCCAAGGGAGGGUCAGGGUCUGGUGCAGGACAGGAGGAGGGGGAGGGGAGGAAGACUCUGCCUUGCACUGGGGAGAGCGGGAGGCAGAUGUGAGUGAAGGAUUCUCAUAGGACCAG
ensembl:lncRNA